GUAGAAAAGUAAUCGCUAUGCUGUAUGUGUUUUGAUCCAUGGCUGCUUGGCCAUUGUGAUGGUUUGUAUAUGCUUGGCCCAGAGAGUGGCAUCAUUGGGAGGUGUGGCCUUGUUGGAGUAGGUGUGGCUUUGUGGGUGUGGGCUUUAGUAGCCUUGUCCUAGCUGCCUAGAAACUAGUAUUCUGCUAGCAGCCUUCAGAUGAAGAUGUAGAACUCUCGGGCUCCUCCUGCACCAUACCUGCCUGGACACUGUAGGAUGAUGUCACAGGUCUUAUGAAGAGCAUUUUAAAUGAGCAUAGCAAGCCAGUAAGUAACAUCCCUCCAUGGCCUCUGCAUCAGCGCCUGUUUCCUGACCUGCUUGAGUUCCAGUCCUGACUUCCUUUGGUGAUGAACAGCAAUGUGGAAGUGUGAGCUGAAGAAACCCUUUCCUCCCCAACUGCUUCUUGGUCAUGAUGCUUUGUGCAGGAAUAGAAACCCUGACUAAGACAUCCAUAUUCUUCUCAGAGGACCAAAGACAUUAAGAAAUUAACUGAAGCUCCUACAGCUGAUAAACACUUUCAGAAAGAAGCUGGAUACAAAAUUAACUCGCAAAAAUCAGUAGCUCUCCUAUAUACAAAUGACCAAUAGACUGAGAAAGAACCCAGGGAAACAACACCUUCCAGAAUAGCCUCGAAUAAUGUCAGAUAUUUUGGUGUAACUCUAACCAAGCAAGUGAAAGCCUUGUAUGAUAAAAAAACAAAAAACAAAAAAAAACUUCAAGUCUCUGGAGAACGAUAUUGAAGAAGAUAUCACAAGAUGGAAAGAUGAUCAUAGUGUGGAAGGAUUAGCAUAGUAAAAAUGUCCAUCUUCCCAAAAGCAAUCUACAGAUUCAACACAAUCCCCAUCAAAAUUCCAAUACAAUUCUUCACAGAUCCUGAAAAGAGAAAUUUAAGCUUCAUAUGGGAACACACACACACACACACACACACACACACACACAGAGAGAGAGAGACAGAGAGACAGAGAGAGACAGAGACAGAGAGACAGAGACAGAGGCAAAGACAGAGAGAGACAGAGAGCCUUGAACUCAUUGGUGCUGGAAAUAUUUUCUGAACAAAACACUGUCUGCACAGGCACUAAGAGCGGCAAUUAGCAAAUGGGACCGGGCAAAGGACAUGGUCAUUCAGACAAAGUAGAAACAGACAGAAAGGGGGGGGCGGGUUUUAUCAAUAGAGGGCUAAUAUCCAAAAUAUAUAAAGAACUCAAAAAACUGGAUAUCAAGAUAACAAAUAACCUAACCAUAAUUCUCAAUUUAGGAAUCUCACGUGACUGAGAAACACUGAAGGGACUGUUCAAGAUCCUUAUGCCUCCAGGAAAUGCACAUUAAAACUACUGCAGGAUUUCAUCUUUUACAUGUUAGAGUGGCCAAGAUCAAAUGACAGUUCAUGCUCCUGAGGAUGUGGAGUAAGGGGAGUACUCCUCCAUUGCUAGUGAGAGUGAAAAGUUGUGCAGCCACUAUGAAAAUCAGCGUUGUGAUUCCUCAGGAAAAUGAGAAUCUAUCUACCUCAAGAUCCAGCUAUACCACUCUCAGGCAUACACCUAAAGAAUGCUUCAUCCUACCACAGAGACACCUGCUUAGCCAUGUUCAUUACUGUUCUAUUCAUAAUAGCCUGAAAAUGGAAACAACCUGGAUGUCCCUCGAUAAAAAAAAAAUUGAUAAAGAAAAUGUGGUACAUUUGUAUAAUGGAGUAUUAUUCAGCCACUAAAAAUGAAAUCAUAAAACUCACUAGUAAAUGGAUAGAACCAGAAAACGUCAUCCUGAAUGAGAUACCCCAGACCCAGAAAGACAAAUAUAGUAUGUACUCACUUAUAUGUGGAUAUUACCUGUUAAGUCAAUGAUCCACUACCAUCCAUAGGACCACAAUGGUUAGGCAAAGAGUAAGGGACUAGGAAUGGCAGAUAAUCUCAUUUGGAAAAGAAGAGAGAUAGUUACGAAUGGGUGGAAGGGCUGGAACAGGAAGAUCAUGUGGGGAAUGAGAAUGGAGGAUGAGGGAGGAAAUAGAGAGAGAGCGAGCUAACAAUAAUGGCCAUGUGGGUGGUGGUAUCGAAACCUAAUACAGUAGAAGCUUCCUAAAAUACAUACAAUAUAAAGGUGACCCAAAUGAAAUGGCCAAACACUGAAGAGACAGAGUCCAACUGGCCAUCUCCUGUCACCAAAUGAAGCUUCCCGCCAGGACUGGGUUACAUUUAAUUGAGUUCCUAGCCAAAGAGGUCCCAUGAGAAUCCCUAAAGAACCCAAGCUGUGGUUGCAGGACUAUAGGUUGCACAAACCAACAGCAAGGCCCCAUUGCUAAAGAAAACAGCUACACAACGCAUUGAAAACGGUGAAGUCAAACUGGUGCCGACAAAGAGCCUUCGGCCCUAUAAUGGUAGGUGUUGUUGUUGUUGUUGUUGUUCUGUUUGUUUUGUUUUGUUUUGUUUGCACGGCUGUAGUGAAGGGAAGAUGCUUAGUGAAGGAAGAGGUAUAGAAGCACAUGCUGGAAGGAAAUCAGUGCCUAAAAUGACGUCAGACAAUAGCCUGAAAUGAGGAAAAGGAACUCAAUGUCCUUGGUGAAACAUUUGCAUGGUGGAGUGGCUGUGGCCCAUUCUACAUGAUGUAUCCGAGGAUCAUUUAUUUUAUUGCAUGUUGUAAAAAUCUUGUUUUGGUUUUUCGACACAGGGUCUUGCUGCAUACGGCACAAGCUAGCCUUGGACUAAUAGCAAGUCUCCUCCCAAUUUUAAGUGUAAGCCACAUUGUCCAUUUAACUUGCUUUUAACUAUCCCUAGAAACAUAAAAUUGCACAUAUUAUGGGCAAUCGUGUGAUUUUUCAAUAUAUGCAAGCAUAGUAUAAUGGUUUUUUUUUUUUUUGGUUCUUUUUUUCGGAGCUGGGGACCGAACCCAGAGCCUUGCGCUUCCUAGGUAAGCGCUCUACCACUGAACUAAAUCCCCAGCCCCUAGUAUAAUGUUUAAAUCAGUAUAAACAUUGAUUUUUGAACACUCAACAUUUAUGAUACAAAUAUUCUGCAACAUUUUCUAUUCCAAAAUAAAAAAUUUCCUGAAAGUUGGACUUUCUGAUAGGAGCAGAACUUUGCUGUGUAGAGCUGACUUCUGAGAAUCUUUUUCUUUUAAUAGUUACUUAUUUGUUCAUUCAUUUAUCUUAUGUAAGAUUGUGUGUGCCUGGAUAAAUGUGUGCCCACAGAGGCCAGAAGAGGGUAUCAAAUGGAUCCCCUGAAUCUGGAGUUACAGAUGGUUGGUUGGGAGUUAGUUUCUGGGUUCUAAGAACCAAACCUGGGGCCUCUGGAAGAGCAUCCAGUUCUCUUAACCACUGAGCCACCUCUCCAGGCCCCUGAGAUUCUUUUCUAUUGAUUCCCAAAUCAGCACUGAGAGGCCAAAGAAAGGAGAGGAUAGCUACCCCAUCAUAUCUGCCUUACCUCUGGCUAUGGCCAGGUUAAAAACAUUCACGCCCAGCCUUCCUGACAAGUGUGAACAGAUGGGAAGUGCUUGUGCUUGGCUUCCCCCCAUACUGAACCCUAUUCUUUAGUGAGAUGUUAUUUUAAUAUUUUUUUCUUUUUUUUCGGAGCUGGGGACCAGACCCAGGGCCUUGCGGUUGCUAGGCAAGCGCUCUACCACUGAGCUAAAUCCCCAACCCCGAGAUGUUAUUUUAAGAUGGGGUCUUAGAGGCAGUUCAGCCCUGAGGGUGAUUCCCUCGUGGUGAGAUCAGUGACCUUAUAAGAAGAAAGGCCUGGUGGUCCAUGCUUGUAGUCCCAGCACUGGGAAACAGAAGCAGUAGGAUCAUUCACAAGUUUUAGGCCAAUCUGGGUUACAUAGUGAGAUUCAAGCCAGUGUGGGUUUUAUGAUGAGACCUUGUCUCAAAAGACAAACAAACAAAAAAGCAAAUAGGGCUAGCUUUGCACCUAUCUUUCCUCAACAUGGGAGGUUACACAGGGAAGACUAUUAGACAGUAGUCCAGACCAGGAAGACAGCCCUCUCCAGGGAUGCUGGAUUAGCCAGCACCUGGACCUUGGUCUUUCAACUUCCAGAACUAGGAGCCAUAAACACUCGUCAUUUAAGCCAUCAGUCUCCAGAAUACCAGUGACAGUCAGAGGAAGCACUAGCUAACAGCCGGUGGACUGUACAUGUGCUUUCUAAGAUUGUGACUGUGCUUUUGGUUUGGUUUUAUUUGCCUUGCUUUUAAAGGUUUUUUUAUGUGUAUGAGUGUUUCACUGUGUGUAAGCAUUCGUACCACAUGUGUGCAGUGCCCGAGGAAGCCAGACAAGGGAGUACACUGGAACUAGAGUUACAGAUGGUUGUGAAGAAUCAUCUGCGUCCUGGGGAUCAAACUGAGGCCCUCUGCAAGAUCAGCAAGUGCUCUAAACCCCUGAGCUAUCCCUCCACCCCCACCUCCCUGGUUUUUAAGACCACUGACUGCAAUUUGUGUUGCUCAUCAUAUACUCGUGGGUAUAGAGCCAAACCCUGGACCACAGUGGACCUACCAGAAACCACAGCACUGAGUAAAGUGUAUUAUCACUCAGCUAGAAGCCAUCAACUGUCGAUAGCUUCUCAGCCAAAAGGUCUCCAGGACACCCUUGACCAACACCUGAAGGUGGGCUGAUCCACAUAGGACACUGUCCCUUUCGUUUGGCGUCCUGUGAGUGGAUGUACCCUGUGCCUUCAGCCAUCAUGUCCACCUCUUCAAGAAAUGCAUAAACAGAGAUUGCAACCAGCUGAGCCUCACUACGGUGGCUGAGUAGGAAAGAGCACCGUAAAACUUCGGAACAGUUAGCAGCCUUUGGCGUGGGAAAGCAAGAAGGAAUUUGAUCUGGGUGCACAUGCAGAGGACCAGGCAAUAACUGCACGGUGUUUAAUACCAUUUCCCAAGGAAGAGAGAACACGCAACCCUGCUCCUUCCGAAGCUGCUCCCAGGCCCUCCUAACAGCCUGCACGGACAGACUGGAGCACAGAGCACAAGCAAGCAGAGGGCAGCUGCAGCAGGAGCAUAGUCAGGCAAACAAUCCUGGAGGCAGGGUAGCAGAGGCGUCCACAUGUGCAUGCACGCCCUUCUGGGAUCGUGAUGACGCCCCAGGGAGUUCUAGGCAGCCUACUGAUUUGUUGCUCCCUAACCACACAGUUGUCAGUGGUGGCGGCAGCGGUGAUGUUGUUGUUGUGGUUUAGUGCUUGGCAGCCUCCAGGCGCUGUUCUAGCUGGCUCUCAACAGUUUCUCAGCAGCUCCCUGCCAACCCCUGGCCACAGCCUCCUCAGCACCUAAGUCCUAGUCAGACUGGCCUCCUCCUCUCCUUCCUCCUACUCUCCCUCCUCCAGGACCCAGGCAGUGUGAAGCUAGGGAGGGAGCAGCCGAGAUGCUGAGGGACUAAUUGUAUUAAUGAAAAUGGCAAACACACAUCCUUUCCAUCUGGCGGCACAAAGGAGAGGCUGUUGGGGAUGCAAUUACCCUCUACAGGAGAGAGUAAAAUAUUUGUCAGGUUUAGCAAUAAAAUUAAUAUCCCCCAAUUA